rnacentral:rRNA from 1 species
UACACACCGCCCGUCGCUACUACCGAUUGAAUGAUUUAGUGAGGUCUUCGGACUGGUGCGCGGCAGUGUAUCUUACGCUGCCGAUUGUGUCGGGAAGAUGACCAAACUUGAUCAUUUAGAGGAAGUAAAAGUCGUAACAAGGUUUCCGUAGGUGAACCUGCGGAAGGAUCAUUAA